CUGUUAAUAAUAAAACAGUGUCAGUUCAGAGAAAAAUGUGGGCUGACGUUAUUUUCUUGAUCUUACAGCUGUAAGCAACCCAGAGGUCAUGGAGCAGCUGAAUCCCAGCGCCUAAAUGACAAACUCACCACCCUGAACACAGUUUAUGGAGACAUUUUUACACUGGAACAAAGAGAUGCCACCACAUUCUUCUCUGUAAACUGGAGAUUCAUUAGUAAUUAUUAAGAUCAUAAACUGACAGAGUCAGGGUUGGGAAUCCAUUAGUAGAUUCUUAUUGAUUAUAAUACGAAGAAAAAAUUUAAAAUAAAUUGACAGAUAUUAAAAAUAAAUAGUGACAUGACAGUUGAUCAUUUAGUUUAAACAAAAAAGUAAUUUAAGUUUGCUUAAAUUGCACAAUUAGUAAAUCAAAUGAGGAUGAUUAUAUAUAAGUUAAACAUAAUAUUCAAACCAAUGAAAGCAUCACAUCUCUUUUCAUAGAUACAGUUAAUAUAAAGGUUUGUGUGAUCAUCUAAAACAAAUCCACUAUAGUUACAGUUUUAUAUUCUUGGUGUUGGGUUUUGUUGUAAAAUCAAUAGUGAUAAUACAAAUCUAAAUAUAGAUACAUAGAUACAACACAGAUCCACAUAUUAUACAUUCAUUCUUCUUUUCAUCUAUACUCUGAGGGUCUUCUGAUAUGAUGAUGUAUAACUGGAGAUAACAAAUAUUUGUCAACCAGUGCAGAGUUUUCUGGACUAUAUUUAUACUGAGAAAGACAUUCUUUAGUUCCCUGAUUGUUUAAGAUCACAAGACAAUACCACAAAUUAAUCAGCAAGCAUCCAGAAAACUCCUGUGUAAAUCAGAGACUCCAAAUUACCUGUAGGUGUUGGUAUGAAGUUUAUCUCAGUGCAAUGCCUGGUGCAAUGACUACUUGAUUUGAUUUUCCAGAAAAUAGAACUUUUCAUGAUGUAAAUAUGAAGCAACAUAAAAUUACAAUGAUAGGUUGUAUCAAAUCUCCAACCCCCAGACACACACAUUAACAAAACUUCUUAAUUUAAUUUCCAGUUGUGUAAAUAUUCUGUGUGUAUAUUUCUUUACAAUUGUUAGAAUUAAAGAUGUGUUUUGUUUCUAAUCAGGCUUCAGAUGUAAUUUAUGGCUUUGAAGUUAUUAAUCAAGAGUAUAUUGUUUUUGGUUUCUUAUCAAUAUUUUGAUCUGUUUUUGAACAUUAUAUUUUAAUUUUAGCUGAGAUUCUUAAAGGGUUGUUGGAUGUUUUAAGCUUCUCAGCACACUGAUAGAAAAAUAGAAAAUUAUUAAUCUGUUAGUGUUUAAGGGACAAAGGAGUUUUCUAUCUUUGUAAACAUUUAGAAAUUGAACAGUGAUGCUCAAAAUAUCUUCUUGUGUGGAGUUACAUAAAUCAAUGUUAAAUGAAGUUGCACUGUUAUUUCAUUCUUUUGUACUUUUCUUUGACUCUUCAAUAAAGUUCCAAAAUUCCAAA